CUAGAUGACUGACGCCCUCUUACCCUCCCUCCCUCUCUCACCCUCGUUUUCUCUCUCUCUCCAAGCUCUUUCCGCUACACCACCAAUACUUUUUUCCCUGGCUGUGGUGUGUUUGUGCUUUAGCGAGUGUACAGCGAAAACAGUUCUGUGCUGAUCCAGCGUGAGCUAUCCCAUGCACAGAGCAGCGUACCUCUUGCCAACAUCCUGCCUCCACUCUGCUGCCUUUUCUGCUUUGAUUUCCCACUGUCUGCUUUUCCACCAGACCUUUUAUUUCUUUAACCCUCUGCUCUCUUCCAAGAAUGAUCUAGGAAGAUGGGAAAGAAAUAAGAGAAAGGUGUCUGUGUGAAGGGGAGAUGUGGAGGCAGAAAAGGAGAGAGAGGGGAGAGGACUAGAGAGAAGACUGGGGUUAGGCUGCAACACGAGAGGCAAAGCAACGAGGAGAGGGAGAAAGAAGAGAGCAACGAGGAUCGAGGGAUGAUCGAGGUGGAAUCGGGCAAAAACGCAGGAAAUGGAGGGAAAAAUUGCCAGACUCAUCCGACCUCUGCUGUGUGGGGACCUGGACCCAUCACCUGACUGCCCUCUCCUGUCUUCCUGGUCCUCAGCAGAACAGCCAUGAGACACACACACCAGCACAGAGCCCACAGACUGCAAAGAGGGGGCUGGGUGGAUUGAUGGAGGGAGAAGACAGAGGCUGAGGUGACUGUGCUGGUGGCGGUGGGGGAGGUAGAGUCGGACAUUUUGGAAAAUUGUAUCCAGUGACAUCCUGCUAAGAUGGAUCCGAAGGCUUCUCUCUUCACCCUUACACAUCCUCCUUUAACCCUACACGACCAUCAUGUCCUGUGUCCCCAUCUCACCCAUCAUCCCCCAGGUGGUGGUAGGCCACAGUGAGCUGCAGGAGAUAUUUGAUCUGUCACUGCUUCCAGGGGGCCGAAUUGUCCCUGUGCAUAGUGGAUGGUCCCUCGCCCUCCUCCGUCUCCCUCUCUCCCCACGGCCUGUCUGACUUCUCUGCUACUGCUGCUCUUCCUCUCUCUGGGGAUUCUGCACUGGUGGUCGAUAAAGGAGAAGAGUGAUGUGGAGCAAGCUGAAGAGGAUCCAGAUUCUAGAUGCCCAGUGCGGGAGAUAUAUCUACUGAAAUAAAAACUGUCCUAUGACGCUCAUCCAUUCCCUUGUCUGUGACGGUGAAGAAUAUCUGGGUUUGGUCAGAGCAAUCGGUCUUUAGCUGGUUUCACCACUAGAGGGCGAUAAGCACAUGUUAAUAUCUAUAACUUCAGUGCUUUAAGGCAGGAGUCAUGAAGAUCGGUUGCCUUACUUUCCUGAUGUAAGACAUUAUUUGUUAUAAUGACAAUGAUUAGGUUACUAUUAUCACCACAUACUGUGGCAUGGUGAGACCAGUGAAUGCUUUAUGGGACAGAUUCAACACAUUUUUAUUUGUUCAAAGACCCUUACUGUUAUGACAGAUUCGAUGUGAUACAUAAUGAGACGUUUGUAAUUAAGAAAGCCUCAACCCUAACCUAGCAUUAACCCUUACCGUAAACCUAGCUUCAUUUCCACAUCUCGGCUCAACCCUAGCCUCAACUCUAACCCAAGCAAAAAAUAUAAAUUGACUUCUUUCUAUGAUUAUAUACGGAUUGUUAACUGAUCGUUAACUGUGACAGACAGAUGGGUUAACUAUUGUAUGAAUUAACCCCUUCAUUGGUUAAACUUGAUGUGGCUCAUGAGUAUUAUUAGUUCACUGUAUUCUGGCUAGGUGGUUGUGAGACUAUUGUGACACUGACCAUACCAUGAUGGAGGGAACAUGAUCUGAGGAGAGGCGGAGCGUUACUGGCGUUAUAAACCCUCAGUGUGUGUCUAAAUAUAUACAGACAUGACUCAUCGUUUAACCCAGCCAUUUAACAGGCGCUGAGGGUGUAUUUUUUUCCAAUGGGUUGUUCAGUUGUCUGGGCAAUGGAUGAUGCAUCAAGGGGCCUCCUAGCUAGAAGUGUAUUCUGGAUUUUAUCAAACCUGGAAUUAAAGUUUCCACUUCAUGAUA